UUGGACUGUGUUUAAAGUAAAUAGUCUGGAUUGAUGAAAGUUGCAUUCGAGAAUUCAUCAACAGGCAUUUACUUCAACUGCAGUUUGAA
rnacentral:pre_miRNA from 1 species